UCCUGAGUAACACUGUGUCACACCCAGGUUUCAGGGCACCAAGACCCGGGCGCGAACAUAAUCACCAGGUAUGCUGGGACCAAGUCUCACACAUAUGAUGAAUCAUGGCAAAAGAUCGAAUGUCACAUAUUUAAUAUAUAAUAAGAGUUCUGGACAAAAUAAAUAAAUAAUUACAUUAUAAGGUGACAACGGUCUAGCAACCCAAAGUUGUUUGGGAGACGACGGCCUAGACCUCUCACGAACUCGUCACGGCAUCCUCCAUGCGCCUCAUCCUGUGGUACCUGUUCUUGACCUGUAGGGGGUGUGAGACAGCAAGAGUGAGCUCACAUACGUUCAUAGCUCAACAAGUUGUGGGGAAUAAUGUGCAUGAACUCGCCAAAGGUGGGAGCUCAUGAAGUGUAAGGCUUACCAAAGAGGAUGGUUGAAGUUGGGCAUUGAUUUUAAAGUUGGUCAAAAUUUUAUUAGCAAUUACUAAGUAUAAGUAAAUACCAACCCAAUUAAGUAGUAGAACAAAAGUAACAACAACACCUGCGAUGCAAUGCAUAUGACAAAUUAAAUUUAAGUUCCAUAAAUUAAUCAUGUGAGGGUACGAGCUGCUCAUGACCGUGAGCACGGCUAGUAUACCAGUUUUACACUCUGCAGAGGUUGCACAUCUUUACCCACAAGUCAUGUUACCCAUCUACGAUGGGGUUGUACGGGCCCCAUACACCUCUACCAAGGAAGCGAGGCAGGGUAACACUAUGAGGCCUUUACAAAGUUCCACUAGUUUCAGAAAACCCGCUACAGUUUAUAGGAAGCUCCAAUGCAGGGAUCCCUCGCCUGACCGCCAUCGCAGCAAAAUCAACCCAAGGACCUCCCUACACUGACCACUUCCCUACUGCCCUUGCCCCUUUCGGGUAAGGUAGUCAUCCACUAGUUUUCCUAGUUAAUCAGCCAAGGGCAUCCCAUACUACCCUUGUGGUAGCACUGUUUUCCCGGGUGGUCGCUCCAUGUUCCCAUUAACAUAAUGAUCUUAUCAUGAAGAGUAAAUAAAAACUGAUAACAAAAGUAUGAAUAAUGUGUAUCUCAAUGCCCAAAUCCACAUAUAGCACUAGCAAGUACUACCCAAAAAGUUUAGUGGUAAACAAGGCAUAAAGAUAGUCAAACUAGGGUAACCUAUUGGGUCCCAUCAAAAUUAACCUAAGCAGAUCAUUAUGAUUAAUAAGAACAUGACUGGAUAAAAAGAAGUGAUCAAGGGCACAACUUGCCUGGGACUUGAGAUUCUAGGUACCAGGAUGAUCUUCAGCUGACUCCUAACCUCUCGCUAGUCGUAGCAAUACAAACAAACAUGGUAUAGGCAAAAUUAACAUCACACCAAACAUAAGAACAAAUUAUAUAAUAAUAAUCUACGCGUCAUUAUGUAAUCUUGGGAUCGAGAAUCACUAAAUUCGGAACUACGGUUUAAAAGAUAUGAUUUUCCAAAGAAUUAGGAGUUGGGUAGAGAAGAAAUUAAGUACAUGAUUUUAAUUUUGUUUCAUUACAACAUAAAGUUACAAGGGGAUAAACAAUAUUAUUAUGGAACUAAUGCGACUGGAAUGGGUAAAUUUGGAGUUAAGAUGGAUUUAAUAUGAAUUAAGCAAGUUUCUAUAUUUAUUGUUGUACUAAAAUCCAUUUUCUUUAUUAAUUCUACCCAUUUUAUUAUUCUUUGGGCUGCGGCCACAAUUUUCCAGAAGGCUAGGGGGUCACAUGUCAAUUUCAGGACCUAACUGUGCUAAUCUUUCUAUACCCGGGGAUGGCGGGUCAAUUACCAGAUACCCCAGGGUCUCAUUAAUAAAAGUGGUCGGCUGAAGAGGUAUUUUGAAGUCUCGGCCGCACGAUUAGAUCAGAGUGGCCCAGAUUAGCUCGAGUCUUGAGUGAACCGUUACGCACAUCAGCUAUUGAUCCAGAGAUCUGCGUCACAGAUUUGAUGAAGUUUUGUUUUCCUAUGGAUCGUCCGAUCACCACCCCACGGCCCUGAUUUAUCCUCCGAGGAGGUAUCUCUACUUCUUAUCAUAACCGCCAGCCCUGAGAUGGACGGUGCAGAGGGCAUCUUCUACAACCGUGCCAGGACGCACAACCGAGCACAAUGGUGCCACAGCUAGCGCGGCGGCGCACAGCUCCCGCGACGGCGACCAUGGUCAGAAUCCCGCCAUCCGGCGAACUAGUCCACAAAUUCAUCGUAAACGCGCUAUAGGGAGGGUUCCGAUGGUGAACAUGACAGAGAAACGACACAUAGGCGGAGGGCAUAGAGAGGGGGGGGUGUCCUUGCUGCAAGGCGGGACCGAGGCGGGGCUAUUCUCCGGCGAGGGAUCUAUGGCUAACGAGGGCUCUAUUCCAUCCGAAGCACGAUACUAGCCGUCGAGAGGAACAUGGCGAAGCUAGGGGAGAAGGUCUCACCGGGAGCGAAGGUGGGGACGAGGUCGGACACGGUGUUGGGCGAAUCGCUGGCGUUGAAGUCCCUCCGGUGAGAAACUGUGUAGCCUCCGGUCCACAAUCCCACCAGGCAAGGCCAUGACAGACAUCCUGGUGGCCUUAUUUAUCCGCACGGCCCAUCCCCGAGGGAUCUACAUCGACGAGCCAGAGUCUUCCCCAUGGCGAACAUCAUUCUCACACUUCCACCCAUGGCGGUCGGGUAUGGGAUGACUCGAAUUCGGGUGCCAGCUCGAUGGAAGGAGGGGAGGGGGUACAGAGACGGCUUUUAAUAGGGCAGAGGAGCGCCCAGGUUGUUGCGAGGCGUGCACCACCCGCGGAAUCCGCGCG
rnacentral:lncRNA from 1 species